rnacentral:tRNA from 1 species
GACCGCGUAGCUCAGUUGGCAGAGCAUUGGGCUAGUAUUCCAUAGGUCGUAGGUUCGAUUCCCACCGUGGCCA